UACGGGGGGGGCAAGCGUUGUUCGGAAUUACUGGGCGUAAAGGGCGCGUAGGCGGCCUGCUAAGUCGGAUGUGAAAUCCCUCGGCUCAACCGAGGAACUGCAUCCGAUACUGGCGGGCUUGAAUCCGGGAGAGGGAUGUGGAAUUCCAGGUGUAGCGGUGAAAUGCGUAGAUAUCAGGAAGAACAUCGGUGGCGAAGGCGCUCUGCUGGACCAUAACUGACACUCAGGGACGAAAGCUAGGGGAGCGAAUGGG
rnacentral:rRNA from 1 species